GGGGACUAAUCAGGGCCUUGAAUGCCAUGUAGACUCUCCUUCUGUUAUAUGAGAUUCUGUGUGUUUUCUUCAGUCUUAGUCUUAUUAACUUAUAUUCGUUUACUCAAACAAAUUAUAAAUAAAUGAUUGCUGGCACCUCUAGUUUAUGUAUGAUUAUAUUAUGUGAAUGGAGAAGACCUUAUUUUUUUCUCCCUUCUUCUCAACCCCCUCUACCUUCUAUGUUCUUAGGGAUGAAUUGGCUUGGGUACGGCUUGUAUCCAACACUAGCCCACUCAUCUGUGUUUAAAGGCUGGGAUUAACGUUGGACCAAAAUGGUGACUUCUCUUGCAACUUCAUGGGUAAAGGGAGGAGGAAGUGAUCUCAGAAAUGUCUUACAUCUUUAAAGCAGCAAGUCUGUCCCCUUCGUGCUCAUUGAGAAUAUCUGAUACCUUCAUGUUUGGACUCAUCCAGCCCCCAUCUCCUCAGUCUAUCUCAGAUCUGACAGUGGAGGCUGCUUUGUCCAGGACCAACCUUUUCUCUUGCCUCAUUUCUGCUAUGCCAGCUGAUGAAGAGCAUGCUAUGCCCUCAGCUUCUUGGACUUCACCCUGGCCCUGGAAGGUUGGUGUUAUUGUUAUUAGUGGGGAUGGGACAGGUGUCUGACAUUAUACAAGCUGCUCCCAGUUUCAAAUAAUACAUUUUGAAUGAUGGGUUAUCGGCCUCAGGGAAGAUAUUUUCAGAUGAGGGAUAGCUUCGCCCCACCUGGGCAGGCUCUCACUGCAGUUUUCAUAAGGUCAGCCUUGCCCAGGUUAAUAUGGCUUUCAAAAUAAUAAAGGGGAAGGAAGAAUCA
ensembl:lncRNA